GUUCAUUAGCAAUAAACUCAAAGCAAAAGUUCGAUUAUCACGGGAUUUUUUCAAAACCCUAAUCCCGGUUAUCUUCUUCAUUCUCUCAAGUUCACCAUCUUUCUACCUCCUGUCCGGCGCCCAGUACCAGCAUCGGUCUUCCUCCGGCGGUCUGUACCAGCUUCCUUCUUCCUCCGGCAGCCAGUAGCAUCAGGUUUCAUCAUCGUGAAAUCAUGACCUUUCGAAGUAAAGCUACAAAGAUGAAUGCUUAAAUUAUGCUCAAAUCAAACAAGAGGCUUGUGCAAACCAAGCUCAUGUUACUAAUUUUGGACCUUUUCAACCCAAAAAGUCCAUUGAUACUCCAGCACAAGAUCCUAUACUAGCUUGGUACCUAUUGUUAUCAAGAAACAUGAUCCCAAAGCUUUACCUCUUAAUAAAAGCUUUAUGACUCGAACUUUGAAGACUUUAAUACUCCAGCACUUGAUCCAUCUACUAGCUUUAAACUUACAGUUACCAAGAUACAUGAUCCCAAAGCUUUACCUCUUGAUAAAAGCUUUAUGUCUCGAACCUUUGAAGACUUCAUUAAUACUUCAGCACUUGAUCAAUCUACUAGCUUUAAACCUACAAUUACGAAGAAACAUGAUCCCAAAGCUUUACCUCUUGAUAAAAGCUUAUGCCUCAAACCUUGAAGACUUUUAAGUUGUAAACCUACAAUAACCAAGAAUUAUGAUACGCCUUCUAGGUAUAAAUCUACAGUAGAGGAUGUUGUUGAAGAGUCAUGUAAGGGGAAAGAAGAUCUCAAAGAGCAAGAUAAGCAUGCAAAGGAAAUGGAGACAAAGGUUCCGAGGAGAACAAAACAAGUGUGGAAGCUAGGGGUAAUGUUUGUUGGAAAAAGAAUAUAGAAGUGGAUCCAGAUGAGAUUGUCUAAGUAGAAGAGAUAAUAGAGAAUGAGCCUCCAAAAUUAAGAAUAAUGGAGGGGGCUAUAAUUGCUAAGCAUGUUUGGUGCUUACCAUCAGGAAGAAGGAUCAUUGUUUAUUUUAAUGAAUAUGAUCAACCAAUUAGAAGGGGGGACUUGUAGUUGUUCAUUUUCUGUCUGAAUUGUCAAAAGAUGUAAUCUUUGUCUACUUGGAGCACAAAAUUGGAAGCGUGUUGAUGAUCAUUACAAGCAAAGGAUCAUUAAAACGGUUUGGGUUUGCAUUAAACAUUCUUUAAUAUUAUAAUUUAAUAUGGAUAUUCUCACUAAAUGCUUAUUUGUCAAAGGAGAUUCUCACCAUAUAUAUAGGAUAAAUUUGUGUUACCUGAUACAAAAGAGAUGAGAUUCGUUGAAUGGUAUUAUCACAUAUAAAUAUGAAGUGGAAGCAUACAAGUGGAGCUUCAAAGAGACUAUUAUCAGCCUAAUGAGACAAAGGAGAAGAUUAUUGAGGAUAUGCCUAAAAAUGUGAAAGAGCAGUGAAUUAGCUUGGUUUCUUACGGGGUCUCAGAAAGUUUAAGAAAUUAUCAACAUUGGGAAAAAGAGCUCGAGAAAUGCAUAAUCAUGUACAUACUACAAGGUCAAAAAGUUAUGCUCAAUGGAAAACUGAAUUUGUUAAGUUGAAUCAAAGAGAACCUAGUGGGUGAGAAAUGUGGAAACGUACACACACUACAAAGAGUGGUGGUUAUGUAGAGGGUACAUACACUCAAGAAUUUAUGGUAUACUAGAGUAUUGAAUUGGAAACAUUUAUAAUUAUAAUAUCUGUAAUUGUAUAUUUCAUUUAUACUUUUGUAUUGUUAUUGGACAUUGCUGAAAGUAGGGUCGAUGAACAUUUACGUGAUUCGAAACAACCUCAUGAGGUGAUUAAGACGGAAGCUUUAGUGAGAUGAUGUAUCAAGAAGACAAACCUAAUCAACGUGUUGUUUAUAAUCAUGGGGUUACUAGAACUCAUGUGUUUGGUAUUAAAGCUCAAUUAUGAAAGAGCAAGAUGGGUGAUUAUGGUGGUACUUCAAGUGAUGUAAUGGGGCUUAGAUCCUACCUAUUGUCUGUUAAGAGAAAAAAUAAUGAGGUUAUCAGAAAAAAUGAUGAGGUUAUUUCCCGACUACAAAAAAGAAAUGAUAAGGUUACUUCCCAACUUUUGAAAUAAAAUGACGAAGUUGAAGAACUAAGAGCUCAAAAUGAAAAAAUUCCCACUCAACUUGAUCGUUUAUCUUCAUUCUUAGAUCAGUUACAACAAAAUUAAAGGACAAUUGGAUGAAGUAGAUAUGAUAAUGACUCAUAAAAAGUUUUAUAUAUUCAUAGGGAGUUUCUUAAGAUUCUAGCUGAUGCUCAUAUUAUGACCAAGAAAUCAUCUUUUGCAAAGGGCUUAGCACUACAGCGGAUAUUGCAACAUAGUGAAAACAAUUCUGCAGGCCUUUAACUUUUGACAAACUUUUAGCUUUAUAGAUUUUUCUCUUUAACAUCGAUGAAUGUAUGUGCGUAUGUGAAUAUUGAAAUUAGGCAUUUGUGUUGGUUGGAGUUUUCUGACCAACCUACAAAAACUUAAGGUCAAAGCUACAUCGAUGAAUGUAUGUGUGUAUGUGAAUAUCAAAUUCUAAUACUUUUGUGGAUAUAUGAUCGAUUUGGUAUGAUAUUUGUUGGUAA